UGCCACUGGGGCUUGUGAGCCACCUCCUCUGGAGGAAGAGGAGCGUUGAGGCAGCAGUUCCAGAGAUGAGGAUGUCCUCUAUGCUGCAGGAGGAAAGAGAAGAGGACCACCAGCAUGUAGAAUAUGAAAAUGAUCAACAGUGACCCCACAACCCCACUGCAUGAUCCACAUCCAGCAGCAUGUCAGCUCUCUCAACUCCUUCAUCUCUGGAGACGACCAGGACUAUGACUAUGACUGCCUAAAUGAGUGGGUCCCACGCUUCAAGAAGCUGGCUGACGGCCCAGCCGUGGCUCAAUCGGCUGGGCACUGCACUGCUAUGCGGGCGACCCGGGUUUGACUCUGGCCUGAGAUCAUUUGCUGAGCCUUCCCUAUCUCUCUCCCUACUCACUUCCUGUCGCCUCUCUAACUGUCAUAACCUUUUGAGUUGUCCUGCUGACAGACAGACAAACAAACACACAAACAAACAAACAGGCAAACCAAUGUGACUGAAAACAUACCCUCCUUGGCGGAAGUUUAAAAAAUAAACUAGCUGACAUGUACGGAGGAAGAGAAGACGAGUUGUGAGUGGUCAGGAUCUUCCUCUUUGCUUACUGAUAUGCAGAUACUUGACAGCAGGCACUCAGUAUAGUAUUUGUGAUGUAGCCUACAGGCUGUGCCUUGACUGUGGUGUCAUCCAGAUUGAUGGUAACCUUGUUGAUAUACUGUAUGU